CCUACGGGCGGCUGCAGUGGGGAAUAUUGCACAAUGGGCGCAAGCCUGAUGCAGCCAUGCCGCGUGUGUGAAGAAGGCCUUCGGGUUGUAAAGCACUUUCAGCGGGGAGGAAGGCGGUGAGGUUAAUAACCUCAUCGAUUGACGUUACCCGCAGAAGAAGCACCGGCUAACUCCGUGCCAGCAGCCGCGGUAAUACGGAGGGUGCAAGCGUUAAUCGGAAUUACUGGGCGUAAAGCGCACGCAGGCGGUCUGUCAAGUCGGAUGUGAAAUCCCCGGGCUCAACCUGGGAACUGCAUUCGAAACUGGCAGGCUAGAGUCUUGUAGAGGGGGGUAGAAUUCCAGGUGUAGCGGUGAAAUGCGUAGAGAUCUGGAGGAAUACCGGUGGCGAAGGCGGCCCCCUGGACAAAGACUGACGCUCAGGUGUGAAAGCGUGGGGAGCAAACAGGAUUAGAUACCCGUGUAGUC
rnacentral:rRNA from 1 species